CCUACGGGUGGCAGCAGUGGGGAAUAUUGCACAAUGGGGGAAACCCUGAUGCAGCGACGCCGCGUGAGUGAAGAAGUAAUUCGUUAUGUAAAGCUCUAUCAGCAGGGACGAAAAUGCCGGUAACUGAGUAAGAAGCCCCGGCUAACUACGUGCCAGCAGCCGCGGUAAUAAGUAGGGGGCAAGCGUUAGCCGGAUUUACUGGGUGUAAAGGGAGCGUAGACGGCAGGGCAAGUCUGGAGUGAAAGGCGGGGGCUCAACCCCCGGACUGCGCUGGAAACUGUACGGCUGGAGUGCAGGAGAGGUAAGUGGAAUUCCUAGUGUAGCGGUGAAAUGCGUAGAUAUUAGGAGGAACACCAGUGGCGAAGGCGGCUUACUGGACUGUAACUGACGUUGAGGCUCGAAAGCGUGGGGAGCAAACAGGAUUAGAUACCCCUGUAGUC
rnacentral:rRNA from 1 species